rnacentral:rRNA from 1 species
AUACGAAGGGGGCUAGCGUUGUUCGGAAUUACUGGGCGUAAAGCGCACGUAGGCGGAUAUUUAAGUCAGGGGUGAAAUCCCAGAGCUCAACUCUGGAACUGCCUUUGAUACUGGGUAUCUUGAGUAUGGAAGAGGUAAGUGGAAUUCCGAGUGUAGAGGUGAAAUUCGUAGAUAUUCGGAGGAACACCAGUGGCGAAAGCGGCUUACUGGUCCAUUACUGACGCUGAGGUGCGAAAGCGUGGGGAGCAAACAGGAUUAGAAACCCCAGUAGUCC